UGGGGAAUAUUGGACAAUGGAGGAAACUCUGAUCCAGCAAUUCUGUGUGUGUGAAGAAGGUUUUAGGACUGUAAAACACUUUUAGUAGGGAAGAAAAAAAUGACGGUACCUACAGAAGAAGCAACGGCUAAAUACGUGCCAGCAGCCGCGGUAAUACGUAUGUUGCGAGCGUUAUCCGGAAUUAUUGGGCUUAAAGGGCAUCUAGGCGGUAAGACAAGUUGAAGGUGAAAACCUGUGGCUCAACCAUAGGCUUGCCUACAAAACUGUUGAACUAGAGUACUGGAAAGGUGGGUGGAACUACACGAGUAGAGGUGAAAUUCGUAGAUAUGUGUAGGAAUGCCGAUGAUGAAGAUAACUCACUGGACAGAAACUGACGCUGAAGUGCGAAAGCUAGGGGAGCAAACAUG
rnacentral:rRNA from 1 species